rnacentral:rRNA from 1 species
GAUGAACGCUGGCGGCGUGCCUAAUACAUGCAAGUCGAGCGAACAGACGAGGAGCUUGCUCCUCUGACGUUAGCGGCGGACGGGUGAGUAACACGUGGAUAACCUACCUAUAAGACUGGGAUAACUUCGGGAAACCGGAGCUAAUACCGGAUAAUAUAUUGAACCGCAUGGUUCAAUAGUGAAAGACGGUUUUGCUGUCACUUAUAGAUGGAUCCGCGCCGCAUUGGCUAGGUGGUAAGGUAACGGCUUACCAAGGCAACGAUGCGUAACCGACCUGAGAGGGUGAUCGGCAACACUGGAACUGAGACACGGUCCAGACUCCUACGGGAGGCAGCAGUAGGGAAUCUUCCGCAAUGGGCGAAAGCCUGAAGGAGCAACGCCGCGUGAGUGAUGAAGGUCUUCGGAUCGUAAAACUCUGUUAUUAGGGAAGAACAAAUGUGUAAGUAACUAUGCACGUCUUGACGGUACCUAAUCAGAAAGCCACGGCUAACUACGUG